rnacentral:rRNA from 1 species
UCUACCUAGUAGUGGGGGAUAGCUCGGGGAAACUCGAAUUAAUACCGCAUACGACCUACGGGAGAAAGGGGGCAACUUGUUGCUCUCGCUAUUAGAUGAGCCUAAGUCGGAUUAGCUAGAUGGUGGGGUAAAGGCCUACCAUGGCGACGAUCUGUAGCUGGUCUGAGAGGAUGAUCAGCCACACCGGGACUGAGACACGGCCCGGACUCCUACGGGAGGCAGCAGUGGGGAAUAUUGGACAAUGGGGGAAACCCUGAUCCAGCCAUGCCGCGUGUGUGAAGAAGGCCUUUUGGUUGUAAAGCACUUUAAGCAGUGAAGAAGACUCUUCGGUUAAUACCCGGAGACGAUGACAUUAGCUGCAGAAUAAGCACCGGCUAACUCUGUGCCAGCAGCCGCGGUAAUACAGAGGGUGCAAGCGUUAAUCGGAAUUACUGGGCGUAAAGCGAGCGUAGGUGGCUUGAUAAGUCAGAUGUGAAAUCCCCGGGCUUAACCUGGGAACUGCAUCUGAUACUGUCAGGCUAGAGUAGGUGAGAGGAAGGUA